rnacentral:rRNA from 1 species
UGGGGAAUCUUGCGCAAUGGGCGAAAGCCUGACGCAGCCAUGCCGCGUGGAUGAUGAAGGUCUUAGGAUUGUAAAAUCCUUUCACCGGGGACGAUAAUGACGGUACCCGGAGAAGAAGCCCCGGCUAACUUCGUGCCAGCAGCCGCGGUAAUACGAAGGGGGCUAGCGUUGCUCGGAAUUACUGGGCGUAAAGGGCGCGUAGGCGGACAGUUUAGUCGAGAGGUAGAACGCCGA